rnacentral:lncRNA from 1 species
AUUCGGAUUGCAUUCAAAUUAGGCAGGAGAUAAGAUUAUGAAUCAUCAAUCAUUGUCGCCCACCCUUAUUGGAUCAACUACUUUGACACCAAAAGGGUCAAGCCAAAUAUAAUUUGGCACGAAGAUGUGGACAUGAGUCCAAGUGUGGCGCAAGGAAGAAAGGAUAGAGUCCAAGUUGACAAAGACUCUUCAUUUCUAAUCUGAUUCUAAUUCAAAUCAAAUUUAAAUUGAACCCACUGAUAGAAAUGAAUCUAAUCUAAUUAAAAAUUUAAAUAUCUCAUCAAAUUACUAACUUAAUUAGAAAUUAAUCGAGUCCAAACCC